CCCUUAGAUGUUCUGGGCUGCACGCGCGCUACACUGACACACCCAGCGAGUCUCCUGCCCUGACAGGGUUGGGUAAUCAUUGGAGUGUGUGUCGUGAUGGGGAUAGAGUAUUGCAAUUAUUGCUCUCGGACGAGGAAUUCCUAGUAAGCACAAGUCAGCAGCUUGUGCUGAUUACGUCCCUGCCCUUUGUACACACCGCCCGUCGCUCCUACCGAGGGGGUGAUCCGGUGAAUGAUUCGGACUUUGGCGUUUCUAGCUGCUAGCAGCGCUGAAGAAAGUUUUGUGAACCUUAUCACUUGGAGGAAGGAGAAGUCGUAACA
rnacentral:rRNA from 1 species